CCCUCCCCCCCCCCCCAUAAGACUAAUUAAGUGUAUGACAAAAAAAUCUAUAGUCUGUAUAUUUUCCAUACAUUCCAAUGAAAGUAGUUUCAGAUAGGCUUUGAAACAAGUAUAGUUUAUCACCUCCAAGGCCACAUGUAGGCACCAAAAUUUCACGAGCUUUGGGCCCAAACCCAAUGAAAGCCCUGCAUGCCAUGGUUGUUACAUCACAGGCUGUUGGCCCCUACUGGUCUUGGGUCCAGUUUAAUUGAACCUCUUCGUGCCACUGAACAAAGUAUGCUUGAAAAAAAAACUUGUUCAAAAUGUUUUAAAUUGAUGUUUGUUUUGUCCGGUAAAAAAAAUAAUUGCACAAAACUUCAACUUGAUCCUAGAUUGGGUGUGGUAGAAAUCAAGUGUGCAAACAUUUUAACCAGACAGACAGGCCGAAAGAAUGGAUAUAAGCGUUGUAAAAAGAACGUUUAUCCCGCGAAAAAGAGAAAGUCAUGUUGCCAGGUUGGGCUGGACUUGAUCUAGAACCCCCCCUGAGAGACAAAGAGAAAGUCAUGUUGCCAGGUUGGGCUGGACUUGAUCUAGAACCCCCCCUGAGAGACAAAGAGAAAGUCAUGUUGCCAGGU